UGGGGAAUAUUGCGCAAUGGGGGGAACCCUGACGCAGCCAUGCCACGUGAAUGAAGAAGGCCUUCGGGUUGUAAAGUUCUUUCGGUAUUGAGGAAGGUUGAUGUGUUAAUAGCACAUCAAAUUGACGUUAAAUACAGAAGAAGCACCGGCUAACUCCGUGCCAGCAGCCGCGGUAAUACGGAGGGUGCGAGCGUUAAUCGGAAUAACUGGGCGUAAAGGGCACGCAGGCGGUUAUUUAAGUGAGGUGUGAAAGCCCUGGGCUUAACCUAGGAAUUGCAUUUCAGACUGGGUAACUAGAGUACUUUAGGGAGGGGUAGAAUUCCACGUGUAGCGGUGAAAUGCGUAGAGAUGUGGAGGAAUACCGAAGGCGAAGGCAGCCCCUUGGGAAUGUACUGACGCUCAUGUGCGAAAGCGUGGGGAGCAAACAGGAUUAGAUACCCUGGUAGUCCACGCUGUAAACGCUGUCGAUUUGGGGAUUGGGCUUAGAGCUUGGUGCCCGUAGCUAACGUGAUAAAUCGACCGCCUGGGGAGUACGGCCGCAAGGUUA
rnacentral:rRNA from 1 species